CUUUUGACUGACCCUGGCACCGCCCUCAACCCGCCCGGGUAGACACCGCGCCACCCGCUCCGGGACGCCGCCCAGCGACAAGGCCGCGGGGUCAGCGUGUCUGUACCGGUGCUGCAACGGGAGGGUCGGGCGGCGACGCUCUCACUGCCGGGCCAGAAGGAGGCCUCCCGGCUCCCUCACGCUAGAAGGGAGCUGGUUACCAGAGGUUUUCAGAGACGCCAAAGUUUUGCCAGGCCAAGGGAUCCUCCCAUCUCAGCCUCCCAAGUAGCUGGGAAUACAGGCACAUGCCACCAUGCCGGGCUAAUUUGUAAAUUUUUUGUAGAGAUGGGAUCUCCCUGUGUUGACCAGGCUGGUCUCAAACUGCUGAGUCCAAGCAGUCCUCCUGCCUCGGCCUCCCAAAGUGCUGGGAUUCCAGGCAUGAGCCCCUGCACCCUAUCCUUAAAUUCUUUUUUCAUGGUUUUAUUCAUCAUCCCAAGCUGUCUGGGCUCAAGGCGUUAGUAUCCCAUGCAAUGAGGGCCUAGAAGUUUCGUCUCCUGACAUCCUCCCCAGGCAGUCCCAUCGCUGGGUUUCAGAGGCCAUCAAGCCCAGCAGGCUUCAAAUCCCCCAACAGAGUCCCCCUUACCUGGGGCUGCCUGGGGAACUCCCAUCCCACUUCAACUUGAGCACCUUUGCCUUUGUAUUUUUAUUUAUUUACAUUUCCUGGUAAGAAUUUGUUGCAAGCACAUGAAAGAUUUUGUGGCUGAAGUAAUGUAAAACCAUUGAUCAAACCGGAAAUUGAGACACAGCCAGCGUCACACAACAGGCCAUCUGAAAGGCUGGAAUAGCAUCGAGGGAGUCUCCCUGGAACCAAGCAGCCAAGGCAGGCUAAUGGUGAAGGCCCAGGCACAGUAAUGGUCCCCUGGAGAUGGAGUCCUGCUCUGUCAUCCAUGCUGGAGUGCAGUGGCGUGAUCUCAGCUCACUGCAACCUCCGCCUCCUGGGUUCAAGUGAUUCUCCUGCCUCAGCCUCCCAAGUAGCUGGGAUUACAAGUGUGCACCAUCACACCCUGCUGAUUUUUGUAUUUUUAGUAGAGACAGGGUUUCACCAUGUUGGCCAGGCUGUUCUUGAACUCCUGGCCUAAAGCGAUCCACCCGCCUUGGCCUCCCAAAGUCCUGGGAUUACAGGCGUGAGCCACCGUACCUGACCCCUGUCCCUGAACAUUUGUCACAAUAUAUUAUGAGUGAAUGAGUAAGAACUCUAUUUUAGUGGUCACCUUCUUUGUGCUAGUCAUUAAGUUUAAGGUAUCUCGCUUAAUAUUCUCCAGAACCCUGUGAGAUAGGCAUUAUUUUAUUCUCAUGUGACAUGUAGAGAAACAGGUUCAGAAAGGGGAAGCGAAAGUCCAAAGCAGUGAAUCUGCGGUGGGUCUCCUGGCCCCAGAAUUGCAGCCUGAUGGGAAGGAAGGCCCUGCUGAGUUCCCAGAGUUAUGGCUGGGUCAUGGCAUUGGGACCCACACUGGCAGCUCCAGUUACACAGGGCUGGGCUGGCUCUAGCAGCCUUGUCUUACUUGCUCCCUGAACUGCUGCAUUGACCUGCACCAUCCUCCCUUCCCUUGCCAGCCGAGAACUGUGCUCCUCAGGUUUCCUGGGCAGGGUCCAGGGCUCUGAUGCCAAACGCAGCCUGGAAACUCUAGCUCUCAGCAUGCCAGGAUGCGGGCACCCAAGUGAGGCCGCCUGGGAUGCAGGAAGCUUAGUCCAGGCCUGGGCAUGCCUCUGUUCCAUCUCCCCUCAAGCAGGACCAGCUACUUAAUCUGCGGGACCCAGAGCAGAAUGAAAAUGUGGGCCCCUCAUUCAAAAAUUUAAAAUUUCCAACAAAAGAAUGAAAAAAUAAGAAAAAAUUAAGAAUUUCAAGAUGGUGAUAGCAGAGUAUUUAACACUUCAAAUCAUGACCCUUACUGUCCAGGUCACAUGCCCACAAAGUCAGCCCUGUCGUCAGGCCUUGGUUUCCUUGUCUGUCAAGUGGGAGAAUGGUAGCCACUGGCCAAAAGGGUGAGGGUGAGAAUGAGGUGGGAGCUGGUGGUAAGAGGUCCAGUGAACAGCAUGAGGAUGAGGUAAGAGUCUCCAAGUUCAUGAUUUGUUAUCUGGGUCUCAGCACCGGGUGGCAGGCCAAACUCCUUGCCAGGAGUUUGAUUGCUUACAACAGCUCUUUUUCACAGAACCAAAAAACUAAAAAUCCAUGAAGCAAAGUAACUUGCUCAGGGUCACACAGAGACUCAGUGGGGGAAGCCAAGAUCAGAGUUCUGGCCUGGCUCUCUUCGAAGCUGGUGCUUUUUGUGACCCAGGCAGGAGAGAGAGAAGCGCAGGAGGGAGGUGGGAUGGGGACAGGCUGCUCAGGACAAAGAGGGCCACUGUGCAGACACAAAGACCUGACCACAGAGGCCCCUCUGGGGGCUGGGACAGACAAAUGGAUGGAGCCCUGUGACUCUAUCUGUGGUGACUGGGGUAGCUGCCAGGAGCUGCCUCCUAGACCCUACCUGGUUGUGAUGAGGGUUGGGGAGGGUGUUGGUGUGCAGGAACCAGGAAAUGGGUCAGGGAGGAGAAACAAACUCAGAGAUGGGCCCCUUCCCCACUCCCCAGGCCUCUGACCCCAUCUCCCCCUAGCUCCUCCUGGGCAGCCUGCCAGCUUAUGGAAUCUCCCACAAACCAUCCACCGCCCCACAUUCCUCCUUCUCAGUGAGGGUGAGGCUCAGGCAACUCACUGUCUGGCAGUCCCAGCCUCACAAUACUUCUGACCCUUCCCCAUCACCAGUGGCAGGAUGAAGCAUAUGCCCUCGGCGCAGUGUCCUUCAGGGCCCUGUGUGACCUGCCCUGCUGACCUUUCUUCACUCACCUGUCCCCACUCCUCCUCAGCCUUCUACGCUGCAGUCACAUGGAACGUCCCACCAUUCUCCAAACACUCUGUCCUUUCAUACACACACCCCCAUGUUGGCUCAUGCUUUUCCUUCUUCCUGGGGGGCUGUUUCCCCUGCUCCAGUAGACUGAAAUCCCAUUUCUCCUCCAUGAACCAGCUCAAAUGCCACCUCCAGUAGCCAGCUUUCCUCCAUGCCCACAGUUGGGUUUAGCUUCGCUCAUUAACCUGUUAAUCUACACAUGUUGGGUUCACCCACUCUAGCGGUGCUCCUCCCACGCUGGCUUGUGUUGUAGUUGUUCCAAUCCACAAAGCCUACCUGGAAGAGGGGACCUUUGAGCUGAGCCUUACAGGACAGGUGGACUUCACUAGUGAAUGUCAGUGGUAAGAAGUGACAGGAGCUCAAAGAAUCAGGGAUAUCAGCCCUAUCUCCAAAAUUUUAUCUGCAUCAGCCAGGUUGCUGAGUUCAAAUAGCAAGGAGUCUAUAGUUCAGAAUGGCAGGAGUUGAGUGUGCAGGGACACUGUCAAGGGAUAAAGUUAAGAGGUUCACCAGGGCCAAGCCACGAAGGGUUUUAUAAUGCCAUACUAAGGAAUUUUUUUGCUUGCUUGUUUAAAACACAUUUGAAUUUAUUUCUCAGCUCUAUAGUUUACUAAGUAAUUAAGUUCUGGCUUUUAUCUUUACUAUUUUCUCCCUCUUAAUUACCUUGGGUAGCUUUUCUGUUCUUUUUCUACAAGCUUAUUAAAGUGAAUACUUAGGCUGGGUGCGGUGGCUCAUGCCUGUAAUCCUAGCACUUUGGGAGGCCGAGGUGGGUGGAUCACUUGAGGCCAGGAGUUUGACUGGCCUGGCCAACAUGAUGAAACCCCGUCCCUACUAAAAAUACAAAAAUUAGCCGGUCAUGGUGGCACACGCUUGUAAUUCCAGCUACUCGGGAGGCUGAGGCGUGAAAAUCACUUGAACCCAGGAGUUGGAGGUUGCAGUGAGCCAAGAUCAUGCCGCUGUACUCCAGCCUGAGUGACAGAGCAAGACUCUGUCUCAAAAUAAAUAAAUAAAUAAAUAAAUAAAUGUGAAUACCUAUUUUGUUGUCAUUCUUUUUCAAUAAUGUAAGCAUUUUUAAGGCUAUCAUUUCCCUCUGAAUUCAGCU
rnacentral:lncRNA from 1 species